rnacentral:rRNA from 1 species
AACGAACGCUGGCGGCAUGCCUAACACAUGCAAGUCGAACGAGACCUUCGGGUCUAGUGGCGCACGGGUGCGUAACGCGUGGGAAUCUACCCUCAGGCUCGGAAUAACUCAGAGAAAUUUGAGCUAAUACCGGAUGAUGACGUAAGUCCAAAGAUUUAUCGCCUGAGGAUGAGCCCGCUUAGGAUUAGGUAGUUGGUGAGGUAAAGGCUCACCAAGCCGACGAUCCUUAGCUGGUCUGAGAGGAUGAUCAGCCACACUGGGACUGAGACACGGCCCAGACUCCUACGGGAGGCAGCAGUGGGGAAUAUUGGACAAUGGGCGAAAGCCUGAUCCAGCAAUGCCGCGUGAGUGAUGAAGGCCUUAGGGUUGUAAAGCUCUUUUACCCGGGAUGAUAAUGACAGUACCGGGAGAAUAAGCGCCGGCUAACUCCGUG